CCGCAAUGUUGACAAAUCUGUUUCCAAACCUGGAAACAGUCUCUUGGUCCUAACAUUUAUAUGUAUAUACUUUUUAUUGUGAUGUUAAAUCAAUGGAGAGUUUUAUAUUGUUCACAUAACAGCAGGCCAGGCCACAGGAUUGAGUUCAUAAUGAGAUGAAAUGACAGUAAGUAUAGAUUAGUUCUGGACAUUGCAAGUAUACUUUGGAUUUUUUCUGGGUUUUAGAAAUGAUAUACAAUAAAAACACGGAAAAGAUGAAAUUGUUAAUGUUAUAAAAAUUCAAUUUGUUUUACUCACAGCUAGAGUAUUGCUUUGUCAUAUGUCUCACUGUUAUAUAUCUUAGUUUUAAAAGUAGAAAAAAGAGUCCUGUUUUUAAAAAUCCUCCUACUAAUGGAUGCUGUUGGUGCAAUAUCAAGUUCUGUCAGGCCUUUAACAUUUGAGAGUAGUGAAUAGUUCUAAUAAAUAUUUCAGAGUUUAUGCAGUAUCAGUAUCAGCUCACUUGUAUACAAUGUCCUUGUUUAAGACAUCUACAUAAUGCUUCAAACACAGUGCCUAGCAGUAGUGAGUAUUCAUUUUUUUAUAUAAACAUACUGCCUGUUGAGUUUUCUGUUUAUUUACUGAAUGUAUGGAAAGCAUGAAUUUGAUACUGUUUCAUAUAAACCAUGUCUUCUGAUUGUCGCAAAAAAGCUGUAAAAGCCCCGUGUGAAAGGGUAAGGUGUGAAGAUUCAGAAAGGCUCAAUAACUCGGCCAAGGUGGCACAGCUACAUCGUGGUAAAAGUAGGCUUUGAACCCAGCUCAACGCUACACUAAAGUCCAUAGUCUUUUUACUGCUCUUUGCGGGUUUCAGCAUACUAUAAAAAUAAACCAUUUAUAUUGCACAAUAUGUGAACCAGGAAUCUUGGAAUAUUUACUUUGUAGAAUUUAUUUUCUCUUAAUCUAGCUUGAGGAUGUUAAGAAAUCGACUCUAAUAGUGUUUUCCCAGAAUGUUAUUAUUUAUAUUAACAAUGUCAGUGGAAUCCACAAGUAGACAUCAUCACCUAGCUGCUACCUGCAAAAAGAGAGGAAAAAAAAUCAGUACUUUAAUGCCUGUCUUGGUUGAAAAUACAUGUUUUAUUUUAACCAAUAUGUUUUAUGCCAUGACUAUUAAAAUUAUUCUUCUGAUCAUAUCAGUAUUACCUUUUGUGCCACGAAUGCUUUGUUUUGAUGUGCUUCAGAAAGAGUAAAAUAGUCAGAAAGUGCAUUUUUUAACAAAUGGCUUGAAAUAUUUUGAGUGACAGUAAUGAAAUGUAGUUGAUAUUUGGUUUUUUCACUCUAUGUUUAAUCUGUAAAUGAUAAUCUAAUAAUUUGGUGAAUAUUUACUGUUUUGUAAGUUAGUUUAAUAUACUUCGGGUUGUUGAAAAUAUGAUAUAAAAUAACUGGUAAUAGCUAGGUACUUAUCGAGUUAAGUUUGACAAAUGAGAAAUACAUGCCAAUUAUCCAGUUCACAAUAUUUACCAAGAAUUAUAGUUUGCGUCUUCAUUGCAAAACAAAUAGUCACCUUAGCUUAAUUCAGUAAACAGCAGCUCUUAUGGGAUUACCUGGUCUAUCUGUUGCAGAUUCAACUUUCAGAGGUUAAUAUGAACUGUUUAGGGGAGAAUAAAAUUUAUGAAAACAGAAGUUUUCUUUUAAUUGGAAUGACUUCCAGUUCAGAGAAAGACUGACUCACUGAGUCCUUGUCUCAUGGUCGUGGCAUGGCGUCCAGUGUCAGUGGUGGGAAUAGUAACAGCACUUCUUCACAUUUGUAUGGCACAUCACAGUCUGAUAAAGCACUUUCACGUAGUGUCAUUUGGGUUCUGCACAGAGGGCAGCAUGUGGCUAUGGCGUCUGUUAACGGCAGCCUUGUUAUCUUGGCAGUGUACUUGUACUUUCAAAUCCAGAAAGCUAACAUUGUUAGGGAGAUUUCAAAUAGUUUUGGAACGAUAGGAAAAAGUGUCUUAGAAAAUUUGGGGGAGUUUUUUUGAGAAGUUGGUGUACUCAUCUGAAUUAAGCUAAUUUUAAUGUGGACUUCCAAACAUGGGAAUGUGUAUCUAUCCAGGUUUAUAACCAUCCAGAAUUUACUUAACAGUCAGAAAGUUUGAGUUUGACUUUCCAGUGUGGGGAAGUCUCAAUUAUUUUCUAUAGCAGUACCUUGUUUAUCCUAAUAUUUUUUUAAGCUAACGUUUCAUCAGAAGUUAGACAUCUUUCUUCUUUUAUGUGUAAUUAUUUCAAGGUUUCAGGUCUUGAGAUUCUUGAAAAUAUGGGUGUAUUCCAUAGAAUCUAUUUUAUUUCAAUUAUUUUGUAAAAUUUUCAACUUUCAUUUGAAUCUUUGAACAUUUAGAAAUGUAAGCAAUUCUGAAACAAUAUACAAAGAAUAAGUAUACCUUCAAUGAAAAUGCAUUUAUCCAAGCAAUAUGGCAAUAUAAAAUAUGUGCUUCAAGCGGUGUAAAAGUAUUUGCCCCUAGAAAAUAUAUUUUAAACUAUUCAUCCUCAUAAAUUUAUGUCUUUGGCCUUUAUAUUUAUCUCCCAGGAGUGUCAAUUUUGUUUGUAUUUUAAUAAGAAAAUUGUAAUAAAAACUUGGGAUUUCAUUUUAGGUGAGGUUUUGUAUAUGGUUUUGUUUUUAUACAGUAGAGUUUAAUCCAUGUGUUGCUUUUCUUCAAGUAUAGUUUAAAGGAGUACAUUUGGAACGUGUUUUUGGAAAAAGCAUGUUUAUGUAGCAGAAGAGACUUCAGUGCACACUUUCGAAGAAAAACAGUUUCUGAGCAUUAAGUGGUAAAAGGCAAUAAUAAUUCAAAUGAUGAUAACAAGCCAACCUGCUAAAAAGAAUGCAUGUUCUGUGUAUCCAGCCAUUUCACAUGAACUAACCCCAUUUAAAAGAAUACAUUUUCCAUUCACUGUGCACAUAUGUGUAAUCAUUUUUGACUAAAAUCAAUUGCCAUUAUCAUGCCAACUAAAUCUGCAGUAGAAUGUAUUAGUUGCCAGAUACAAUACAAAAUAUAUCAUUUAAAAAUAAUCAUGAUUGAGUCCCAGAAAUGAAUAGAUUCAAUUUGUAACAAUUAGUUAUAGAAACACUCCAGAGAGUAAAGUUAAUGUUAAUUUGUAUGUGUAGUAACUAAAGUACUAUGGUAAAGCCUGUAAUGUGGUAGCAAUGUGGAGCAUUUUAUGCUAAAAUACACUGAAACAUUAGAGAUGAGCCUAAUUGCUUUUCUUAUUUUCCCGAAUA